AUCUGGCUCAUGACCAUGGCAAAUGCUUCUCAUCCAAGAAUAAGGCUGCUUGCUCGAGCCUUCUAGAAUGUCCUGUGACUCAGCUCAAAUGCAGAGGCGUCCAUCCACUGAAGUUUCUGCAUGGCCACCUGACUUAGAGAACCUGGGUUUGAUUCUCAGCACUGACGUGAUAAUUCCCAAGUGUCUCUAAGCCCAUGGUUCCAGAGGAUCUGAUGGCCUCUUCUGACCUCUGAAGGCAACAAGCAUGCAUGUGGUGUGUGUCUGAGACACACACAGAAUCACGCAUGCACAUACACAGUCACACAUGUACAUAUGCAUAUACAGUCACACAGUCUCUCUCUCUCUCUCUCUCUCUCUCUCUCUCUCUCUCUCUCACAUACACACACACAGAGUUCAAGGCUUAGUUUGCAUGUCCCUAACAUAGGAUCACUAACACUUGCCAUAUUUUCCCAGUACAAGUGAAACAUAUAGACGCUUUGCUUCUAAACUACACGUACCACACGUCAGCUACCGGACGGAAAGCGUCUGCCCUUCUGAUGCAGCCUCUUGCCAAGAACUGUACCACAUUCUUCGGCGCUAAGGCACAGUCUGGAAGGAAUCUGAAACUUGUGCCAGCUUCCUGGAACUCAGUCUCCCCCCUCUGUGUCAGCUGGCUGGUCUAUCUGUCUGUCCAGUUUCUCCAGGGACAAAGUCCACGCUACCUGCAAGAGGGCAAAUCAAAUCAGGAACCAGACUGGCUCCUGGAGCUUCCCACUGUUGACAGCCUGCCCGGGUGCCCAGGAGACUUUGUGCAGCCUUUACUGCCUGAGACAUCGAGGAAGAGCUUGUUGGAACCGCUCCGAGAAACGGGAAAUGAAGGAUGUUAUAAUAUCCAUUUAUGAAUCAGCGCUCACGGCGUGAACUCUGUCAUGUUUCCUGUGAUUUCUGUAACUUUGAAAGAACAAGAAAAGCUAAGGGUCCUAACUAAACACAUUUCUCACCUUCUGUAUCUUUUAAUGGAUAUUAAGUCACCACUUGAAAUGUGUUGUUUUUGGAAAGACCUAACCAAAAGAAAAAAAAAUAAUAACCUUUCUUUUUUUGCUGGAAGAUCAUUUUCAUUUUGUAGGGAAUUUUGUCAGCAUUGUUAAGACCGGACAAUCCUCAGAUGUCUAGACAUGGCACGCACGGGGUGUGUACUUCAGCCUGAGUGUUUAGUUAAUUUAAAUUUAAUUUUUCUUUCUCUCCCACCCUCCACUGGACCUGCCAUCAUCAGCAUCUAAACCAUCUAUAGGUGACCUUCUUAGAGACAAAACCUGGCAAUUGCUAUGGUCUCCAAUAAAUUCCCUUUGGAACAGGUGACUUUUAAUUGUAGGAAAAAAUAAUUAAAAUCCUGAAAUCAUUGCUGAAAGAAAAAGUAACAAGAGUUUAAAAGACAGUGAUGUGGGGGUGUGACAUUAUGGAUUAAAAAAAAAACCACUGGGGAAAAAUUAACAAAGCUAAUAAUAAAUAAUUAAACAAAUAUAAGGUUAGUAGACUGAAAUGUAUUAGACAUUUCUUUUUUUUUUUUUUGGUUUUUCGAGACAGGGUUCUCUGUGUAGCCCUGGCUGUCCUGGAACUCACUCUGUAGACCAGGCUGGCCUUGAACUCAGAAAUCCGCCUGCCUCUGCCUCCCAAGUGCUGGGAUUAAAAGCGUGCGCCACCACGCCUGGGGUAUUAGACAUUUCUGAAUUAAAAAUCUACAAACUACUUAAAAGC
ensembl:lincRNA